UUAGUUGCGAAAUACUUGACGGAAUGAAAGGAAAUUGGGGCAAAAUGAUGUGUGUCUAUGCGUCGAUGCCCGAAGAGGCUUGAUGGGGCUGGCUGUGAGCGGACAGAGGCGCGGUUUUCUCUAGUGUUCUCUGAACCAUCUGCGCCUCUCACCAAAAGCAUUGUCUCGCGGAAUGUUUUCUCUCUCAACCCGUAACACGUUAUCUUCGCAAGUUUUCACCAUUCAGCGCACUAUUUUUCACCGGUCUUUGUCGUCUGCAUUUCGUGAUGUCAUCGUGGUGAGAGAUGCAAACGCCACGUAACUUUCAAUAUUCUCGUUUUGUUUAAUGCUGACACUGCACAAAAAAGGCGAAAAGAAGACAAUUUUGGUUUGAUACGAAUUAUCAUCAUUCCGAAUGUGUUAACUUCUAAAAAUCAAUCGAAUUUCGAACGGAAUACCACAUUUAAGAGAUCAAUCGAGUCAACUUUGGAUGCAAACAAGGGAUACAACAAUAAUGGACGUAUUUCAUGAUUUUUCUUCAAAAAAUCAGCCUUAAAAUGAAAGUAGAGAGAUAGCAAUUGUGUUUUUUGCAUGUUCUAGAUGUGUUCUUAAUCUUAAUAUUGAAAUUCGGUUUUCUGGGUGAAAGAGGAAUGAAAAUUCUGAAUAUAUGAGUUUAAAUGUUUACCAAGAUUUUGAAAAUAAAUUUAAUUAAACCUUAUUUCAGCAGAAAU
ensembl:antisense_RNA anr-36 ncRNA